GACGAACGCUGGCGGCGUGCUUAACACAUGCAAGUCGAGCGGAAAGGCCCUUCGGGGUACUCGAGCGGCGAACGGGUGAGUAACACGUGAGUAACCUGCCCCAGACUUUGGGAUAACCCUCGGAAACGGGGGCUAAUACCGGAUACGACACAGCUUCGCAUGGGGUCUGUGUGGAAAGUUUUUCGGUUUGGGAUGGGCUCGCGGCCUAUCAGCUUGUUGGUGGGGUGAUGGCCUACCAAGGCGACGACGGGUAGCCGGCCUGAGAGGGCGACCGGCCACACUGGGACUGAGACACGGCCCAGACUCCUACGGGAGGCAGCAGUGGGGAAUAUUGCACAAUGGGCGGAAGCCUGAUGCAGCGACGCCGCGUGAGGGAUGACGGCCUUCGGGUUGUAAACCACUUUCAGCAGGGACGAAGCGUAAGUGACGGUACCUGCAGAAGAAGCGCCGGCCAACUACGUG
rnacentral:rRNA from 1 species